ACAAAGCUGUAGCGUUAUUC
rnacentral:miRNA from 1 species